AAGACACAAGGCAUUAUAGAAAAUGUCAGUGGGACCUGAAGAAAAUCCUUUUCAAGGGAACUUCAUAAUGACCUACAAAAGCACGCACACUGCACUUCUGAGGGAAUUUAGUGAUGCUCACCGCAUCACUAAAGAAAGAUGUCUACUGCCCCAAAGACAACCAGCACUCCCACACAUAAACAGACAACAUCAGUGGCAGCACAGGACCAGAAGACAGGAAGCCAGGACAAAGAUGCUUUGGAGAAAGGGCAAAAACGAAAAAGAGCGCAAAGCCAAAAGACCCAUGGACCAAUUCGGGGACAUCAUUCACCAAAAGAGGUAAUUAAAG
rnacentral:lncRNA from 1 species